GAUCACAUGGCCGUGCGUAGUUGCAAGGGAGCCUGGGAUAUGUAGUACUUAGCCUGGCAGCCCUGGACCUCUUUAAAACCCCGGAGGGGGAUGUUCUGUUACUAAAGGGAAGAUGGCAGAAUGGAUACUGGGCAACAGCCGGCAGUCUCUGCCGUGUAGGAUUCAAGGAGAUACUCUGGGGAGACACUCAGCACAGGGCCAGAUAUACGGCCCUGCUCAGGGAAUAUGUGACAUUAAUUGGUAUCAUAAGUGUGUCCUUUUCACUUUCCCAAGGGAUCCAGGGACCUUGGGGUGGCUCGGGGGGCUUCGUGGGGGCUCCAUCCCAUGCCCUCCACCCUCUAGGUGAUCAGGAGAAGCACCGAGAGACAGCAGACCCCAGCCACCCCACAGCCCAGGCCACGGAGGAUCUCAGGCCUCCUGUCUCUCUUCACGGAAGAAACAGGAAAACAGCCUUUACUUCAGGGCUCAGAGACAAGGAGAAAUGGUGACAUUGGGGCCCUUGCAGCCCUGCCCCCCGGCUGCCUCUGAGGAGCAUGGCAACCUUUGUUGCUUUGUGACUCAAGGCCGGGUGCGCUCUGCUAUGUUCUGGCUCUCGGACGCUGGUCAGGACACCAGACAGGCAUCCUUGUCCCCCCAAACGCAGCACCAGCUGAUUUGAGCUCAGAAGCAUUCCCUCCUUAAAUAUUCUCCUCUGAACUCAGAGCUCUUUCCAGCCCUAGGAGGACUGACAGAUGACAUGGGAAGGUGACCAGAAGCAAGACCCUGCUUCUUCACUUGAUCUCAAAACUGGACUGACCCUCUCUCCUCGACUACUAGAGAAGUCAGGUCCCAGGCCUGUGUGGGGCUCACAAAGUAAACAAGGCAGUCAUGGUCCCUGUCCUCAUGGAACCCCCAGUCCUUUGCACACCAAGUGGAUUCUCCCCAGAGCUGCCACAGCAGGAGUGGCCCGAGGACCCAAGGAAGGAACACUGAGCUAGAAAUCAGGCCUCUAGCUAGCACCAUUAUCUCUGAGCCUCGGUUCCACAUCUGGUGCGUGGGGGCGGCUGGAGAUAGCACAGGACCACAUGCUCUGCAAGCUCUCCCAAUCUGGAAGAUCAUGAGAGGUCAUGGGAGUGCCUUGGCCUUGCCAGAAUGGACUUCCCGGACACAGGAAGGAGCCUCCGGAACCAGCAGAGAGGCAGGGGAGAGGCCAGAGGUCCAAGUAUGAAAAGAGUUCACAGACUAGGAAGCUGAGGCUCUGCGGGGCACAGUGACUUGCCCAAGGUCACUCGAUCCUGCCAGAGCUGGAAUGGGAACCCAGGAUCGCGGCUGCUCACCACCAGCUGGUCACCUGUCACCACCUGGCUGAGGGUGGACACUUCUCCCAGACUCAGCAGGCCUUGGUUCUUCCUCCGAGAAAUGGACAUCCCAAAGCAACGACCAUGCAGAGGGCGUUUGUGAAAUCAGUGUGCUGCUGAACCAUCCCUGUGAGGCUGCCAGUAUAAUUCCCCUGCUCUCUGUGAGGCUUGGAGGAGUGAGGGGACCCACCCAAGUUCACACAGCAGUUUUGCUGGAACUCCAGUUUUCCAUGAAGCUUCCAUGAAGAUUCGUGCGUUAAGUCUUUGCAUGGACCUAAGUUUUCAUUGCUCUGGGAUAAAUGCCUUAGAGGGGAAUCGCCUGUCCUGUGGGAAGGGUGUCGGCCCCACCCAGCGGGCUGGCAGGCAAAUCACCUACUUUGGUGAAGGAAUGGCAAAGCGAGGCUCAUCUUUUACAGAUGUGGGUGAUUACAGACGGCCACCGAUUGCCUCAUUUCUCCCACGAAGACAUAGUGUCUUCUCUCCUCCUCUUGAGAGAUUCCUGGCUGGUCCCAGGACUGGCUUCGAGGAACAUAACAGAGCCAACAUGAUGCUGUGUAGCUUCUAACAUUUGAGCUUCUCGAUGUGCUCCCUCUUGGAAGCCAGCCACCAUGUGAAAACCCACUAUGCUGAGAGCAAGCCCAGGAGCCAUAUGGACAAGGGAGACCAGUGGGCAGCAUGAGGGGUACCAGAAGCAUAAAGGAAGCCUUCCUUAACCCUCCAGCCCAGCCACCUGCUAAAUGCAGCCCUAGGGGAUGACCCCAGCCCAUGGCUCUCUUGCUAAAGAGAUCUAUAAGUAGGGGGAAAACUUGAGGGUCUCCCACACAGUUAUAAACUGAAUUGUGUCUCCCCAAAAUUCAUAUGUUGAAGUCCUAACUCCCAGUGCCUCAGAAAGUAACCACAUUUGGAGCUAAGGUCUUGGGAGAGGUAAUUAGGUUCAAAUGAGGUCAUCAAGGUGGGGGCCCUCAUCCAGGAAGAUCAGUGUCCUCAUAAGAAGACAAGCACAUGGAAAGACACUAGACCCAGGUGUGGACACACACAGGAGAGACCUCGUGAGGACACAGCAAGAAGGUGGCCGCCUACAAGCCAAAGAGAGAGAGAGGUCUCAGAGGAAACCAACCCUGCUGACACCUUGGACUUCCAGCCUCCAGAACCGUGAGAGAAUGAAUUCCUGAUAAGCCGCUCAGUCUGGUAUUUUGUUAUGGCGGCCCUGGCACACAUAUCCACACGCCCACUACUCAAUGCUGGAAUGGGGACAGCAUACCCACAAACACUGUCUUCUAGAAGGGGUAGGAAGAGGAGGCAAGUCCUUGGCAUCGUGCGCCGCAAUCCUGAGUCCGCCAGGUGGAGACUGCCAGGGCCACCGCCUCCAGGGUGACACAGACACUCUCCAAUGGACCCCACGGUGCUCCCUUGGAACUCUUUCUGUCCUCUGCUCUCCGAGGCCCUUGUGUGUGGGGGGCCCUAUGGGUGGACUUCCUUUUCCAUCUCGUCCUUGGCCACAUGGAAUGAGGACCCAAGGGCCCUCAUGGAGGGCUGAGCAGAUCUUUCCAUCUGCUCUCUUCCCUCCGGGGCCCACAUGUGGUUGUAAGUCGUGAACGGUCACAGCCUCUUUUAGUGCAGGCUGGCAGCUCUUUUGCCAGUGUGAUCCUCUUCGAAACUUAGCUUAUGUUUUAUCUCUUUGUCCCCACUCAGCAACGUAUGCUAAAGACGCAGCCAAAUUUUCUAGGCCUGCUUCUCUAGACUUCAUCACCAGAGGUUUGGGCAAAGCAGGUAAUGGCCACAUCUGGAUGUCGUCUUUACCGUGAGACCGAAUCUCAGCUGGACUCCAUCACACAAAGCGCUUCUUAGUUGCAUUAUUUUGUCCUCGGCCUAGAAGAUUCUUUAUUGACAAGUUGUGGAUUACCCAUUUUGAAAAGUCUCUACAGAAAGUUUAAAAUUCACACUUGGACUCCUCAAACAAUACUUUUCUGGGGAUGCAGAUAGUUAAAUUUAAAACUCGUAUCUGCUCCAAGAUCGUACUGUGCAUUCCACAUACCAAUAUGUCAGAAGGUUUACUAAAAUGUCAUCUGUAACUCGAAUUUGAAGAAUCAACCAACUGCCAGAGGGGCGGGGACUGGGUCUGUUUUGCCCACUCAUCUUGCAAAGAGCAAGCAGGCUUUUCCAAAAAUGGCCCUGGGUUCUCUAGGUUUCUGGAGGACAAACUGCUGGUGUGUGUGUGUGUGUGUGUGUGUGUGUGUGUGUGUGUCUAUGUGUGUGUCCCAGACAGUAUCACCUUUUUUCACUCGGGGACGAGAUGUUUGUGUCCAAGCUUGCUCCCAUAAGAUGGGUGGCCUUCUUGCAAUGGCAUCGCUCAACUUCCCAUGGGCUCCAGGCCACUGGGCCUUGGGCUCCUGGAUCUCUGGCUUCCUUUCUCUGUCACUGGACAGAGAUGAGAAAUAGCUGUAUUUUUCAACGCUGAAAAUCCAGAAUUUCUGGGCUCUCUCUUUCCCUUUCAUCCCUGCUUGCAAAUAGGCUAAUUCCCUUCCGAGUGCAUCUCUUUUCUGUGGUGUCUUGGGAAAAAGCAGUGCACGAGUUUGCUAGGGCUGCUGUAACAAAGUAGACAGAAAUGUAUUGUUCGCAGUCCCAGAAGCUAGGGGUCUCCACUGAAGGUGUCAGCAGGUGGCUUCCCUCUGACGGCCACGAAGGAAGGCUCUGUUCCAGGCCUCUCUCUGGCUGGGGGAUGGCCACAUUCUCCCUGUGCCUUCACAUCACCUUUCCCUGUACAUGUGAGUGCGCAAACUUCCCCUCGUUCUGAGGACACCAGUCAUGUUGAUUAGGGCUCACCCUGGUGAUUCCAUUUUGCUUUAAUUACCUCUUUAGAGACUCUCUCCAAAUAUAGUCACAUUUUGGGGCACAUGGGUGUCUCAGUGGUUGAAUGUCUCCCUUAGGUUAGGUCGUGAUCCCGGGGUCCUGGGAUCGAGUCCCGCGUU